rnacentral:tRNA from 1 species
GCACUUGUAGCUCAGCAGGAUAGAGCGUCCGCCUCCUAAGCGGAAGGUCCCGGGUUCGAAUCCCGGCAAGUGUGCCA